CCUCUAAUUGGGCCGUAAAACACGCUCGAGCUGCAGAAGUCUGAGAAAAAAAUCUCUUCUCUACUAACCCGAGACUUGCUAGUCAGCAUAGUAAUCAUUUCAAGGCCCAGCACGAUGGUGGACCACAGUUUUGAGGAAGCCGAAGCUUGUCUUCACCCACCGCUCCCCCUCAGUCAGUUCCGGGCACAUCUCCAAUCUUCUUGUCAAGACAGGUGUGGGUGUCUCGCAAGGAUUUAAACCACCCUUGAAGGGGUUGGUGGGGCCUCCAUAGAGGCUACGGGUGCAGCUACUGGGGCCACCGGUGAACCAUGAGACACUUCAAGCCCACCUCUUCUCCUGAGGUUGAGCGUGAGGGUGACUGUUGGUGACCAUGGAUCCUUACGACCACGAGAGUUCUUGCCAGCUUGUUCAGACGUCCAUUUCGGCAUGUAGCUCUGACUUCUACUGCGGUGAUCGUGGAGCUGCAGCCAUUUAUAGGGCAACGUCACGUGCUCAUCUGUGAUACGCUGCCACAUGCUUUGCAUAAAUGGAACGAUUGUUGGGUGUAAGUUGCUUAAGCCGGCAACACUAUGCAGUCAUUGGUGUAAAUUCAUUGAAUGUUUUGUAUAAGUUAAGAAUACGACAUAUAUGCUCCAACAGUGGGAGGGGGGAAUCAGCGUAUGACAGUGCUUUUGCUGUGGUCAGCAAACGCUGUCUAAAUGGUCAAGGUGUGACAGGGCCAUAAGUUUUAAUAUACUAUCAAUGAGUGUUGCUGAGUUCAUAAUUGUCCUGCUUGGAUGUGUAAUUUUUGGAUACAGUCCCAUACAAAACACAGAGUUAAUGAAUUCCGUUAUUUGUGAUUGACUAUAUGGAUU